UGACGGUACCUGCAGAAGAAGCCCCGGCUAACUACGUGCCAGCAGCCGCGGUAAUACGUAGGGGGCGAGCGUUAUCCGGAUUCAUUGGGCGUAAAGCGCGCGUAGGCGGCUCCCUAAGCGGGACCUCUAAUCCAGGGGCUCAACCUCUGGCCGGGUCCCGAACUGGGGGGCUCGGGUUCGGUAGGGGAAGACGGAAUUCCCGGUGUAGCGGUGGAAUGCGCAGAUAUCGGGAGGAACACCGAUGGCGAAGGCAGUCUUCUGGGCCGCGACCGACGCUGAGGCGCGAAAGCUGGGGGAGCGAACAGGAUUAGAUACCCUG
rnacentral:rRNA from 1 species